AUUGAACGCUGGCGGCAUGAUUUACACAUGCAAGUCGAACGGCAGCGCGGGGCAACCUGGCGGCGAGUGGCGAACGGGUGAGUAAUAUAUCGGAACGUACCCAGAAGUGGGGGAUAACGUAGCGAAAGUUACGCUAAUACCGCAUACGAUCUACGGAUGAAAGUGGGGGACCUUCGGGCCUCAUGCUUUUGGAGCGGCCGAUAUCUGAUUAGCUAGUAGGUAGGGUAAAGGCCUACCUAGGCGACGAUCAGUAGCUGGUCUGAGAAGACGACCAUCCACACUGGAACUGAGACACGGUCCAGACUCCUACGGGAGGCAGCAGUGUGGAAUUUUGGACAAUGGGCGCAAGCCUGAUCCAGCAAUGCCGCGUGAGUGAAGAAGGCCUUCGGGUUGUAAAGCUCUUAUGUCAGGGAAGAAACGGUUGGGGCUAAUAUCCUCGGCUAAUGACGGUACCUGAAGAAUAAGCACCGGCUAACUACGUGCCAGCCGCCGCAGUAA
rnacentral:rRNA from 1 species